AGGUUAUGAUGUGGGCAUUUCCUUAACAAGUCUUUAAAUCUCUCCUAUACCUCGAAUAAUAAUUCAGUAUGCAACUGUGCAUAAGCUGCAAUCUCUUGACACAGCUU